rnacentral:rRNA from 1 species
GAUGAACGCUGGCGGCGUGCUUAACACAUGCAAGUCGAACGAUGAAGCUCAGCUUGCUGGGUGGAUUAGUGGCGAACGGGUGAGUAACACGUGAGUAACCUGCCCUUAACUCUGGGAUAAGCCUGGGAAACUAGGUCUAAUACCGGAUAGGAGCGCCUACCGCAUGGGGGGUGUUGGAAAGAUUUAUCGGUUUUGGAUGGACUCGCGGCCUAUCAGCUUGUUGGUGAGGUAAUGGCUCACCAAGGCGACGACGGGUAGCCGGCCUGAGAGGGUGACCGGCCACACUGGGACUGAGACACGGCCCAGACUCCUACGGGAGGCAGCAGUGGGGAAUAUUGCACAAUGGGCGAAAGCCUGAUGCAGCGACGCCGCGUGAGGGAUGACGGCCUUCGGGUUGUAAACCUCUUUCAGUAGGGAAGAAGCGAAAGUGACGGUACCUGCAGAAGAAGCACCGGCUAACUACGUG